AUCCAGGAACGUCAAACAACAACAAUUUGACGGCGAAGAGGUUGAGGCUCACGAAAGGAACGUAGGAAGGAAGCAGGAACGUAUGACGGAUCCAGGAACGUCAAACAAUGAGGCGAAGAGGUUGAGGCUCACGAAAGGAUCCAGGAACAUAGGAAGGAAGCAGGAACGUAAGAAGGAUCCAGGAACGUCAAACAACAACAAUUUGACGGCAAAGAGGUUGAGGCUCACGAAAGGAACGUAGGAAGGAAGCAGGAACGUAUGAUGGAUCCAGGAACGUCAAACAAUGAGGCGAAGAGGUUGAGGCUCACGAAAGGAUCCAGGAACAUAGGAAGGAAGCAGGAACGUAAGAAGGAUCCAGGAACGUCAAACAACAACAAUUUGACGGCAAAGAGGUUGAGG